UGGGCUGGAGUACUGACUGCAGACAGGUGAACUAGGCAAGAAUCCCUGGAACUAAAGCACAAUGGAAAUCGCGAUAAUUGCAAGCAACCACAGUCCUGAUGUUGUCCCAUGUCAACAAGUGACGUCUUAAGGGUGUGGCUGUAUGUAUCUUGCCUGUACCCUGUACUGGAGGCCAGGAGCCGCCUUGUGAGAACAUGCACCUUGGGCAUCAGCCCUGUCAACGCUAAAGACCGCCCAACUUCGGCAUCAAGCUGCAAGCCACAUUAUUACAUAUUUUUAUUAAGAAAUGUUAAUGAAGAGUUGUAAAUUGAACUUUUAUAAUUUGAAUGAAGCCAUUAAAACCAUUAAAACCUUAAA